GUGGGGUACUAAAGAAAUAAAAUAUCUUGACAACCACUAGCGUUGUCUUGUGACUUUAAAAAAAAUCAGCCUGUGAAGUAUCACUGCUCUGUUUUAGUCUAAUGCUACUUCUAUCUUUUAUCCUUUUUAAUUAGAAGGCAAAUUCUCAGACCGCCAGGCCUAAUCCCUACACAGUGGAACAAAGCCCAGCAAAGCCUUUGAACACUGUUCAGCCGGGCAGCACAAACCCCAGUAACUGUUGGCAGUAGGGGCAGGACUCUGACCCUCAUCUCAGCCAUUCUCCUGCAGCUCCUGAUGCUCCCUGCCCUUCAGAACUCUAUCUGUUGUUCUUCUGUUUAGACUGAAAAGACAAAAGAGGAGACAAUGUGGGAAACCUAGAGGAUUGGCUAGGUAGGAUGCAGAGAGCUAGUGAUGGAUAGGGGCAAGUAAAUGGAGUUUCACGGGAAUGGACACAGUGGGGAGAAUUGGAUCACCAGAUUAGGUCUUUAGGUUCAAGAAAUUUCUUCAUCCCUCACUAAAUCUUUUCAUGGACAAUGCCACUUUUUAAACAAUUGUUGCAUUUCCAAUUACUCCAGGAGUGUUCAAACAAAUGCCCCCAAACCCUCCCUGAAAAGUUUGCUUAUAUUUUAAACUUGCCAGAUGAAAAUCAAUAAAACCAACACCCCCAAAAUCAGUGGCAGACACUUAUAUUUCCAAAGUAUUUACACUUGUAAUAGUAGUUGAGUCAAGAGCAUAAUUUCAGCCCACUCAAGCAAAACAGGCAACUAGAUAGAAACGUGUAUUUUUCAAAGCUAAUGGGAGCAAUCAUGAAUCAAAAAGCCAAAUUCCAAGUAUGCAAAUAUGAAAAAGGAUUGUUCGCAUUUCCCACUUUGGCUAACUGUGAAUUAUCGAACAGUGAAACAACAGAUGCUACUACCAUGCCGCAAACUCUUCCAAGUUGUUCUUAGAUUGAGCUACGUAUGUGUGGGAAUUACUGUCUGGUGCCAGGGUGCUUGAGAGUUGUGGGAUUUGUGAAGAAGAUAUGCAUUUUCUGCAUUUUGAGAUAUGUAGGAUAGAUGUUUCAGGGGAAAAAGGGACGGAAAACCAAAAAUCUGUUAUUGGAAACAUUUUUAGCAGUCUCUCCCACCCCUCAAUACAGGUUUCACAAAGCCACUUUCAUUUUUUUCCCCUUCGGAUGUCUACAGAAACACCAGUAAAUGAGUGCUAUACUUAACCCAAUCAUUAUGGUUUUCUUUAUAACCAAAUAUAAAAUGUGUUGCUGAUCUGGCUUUGGGUGAUUAAGAGGUUAAUUUAAAUCAUAGGAAAGGAUUCAGUCAGGGAUUUGGAUGAAUGAUGUUCAAUAAACAUGUGCAUUUAAUCAUAUAAUCUUAAAUUCGAAGUUACAGCCAAGCCCUUCUUAAGGAAGUUCCCAUUUUUAAAGAUCUUGGUAGGACAAAUGUACUGAGUCUUAUAUUUAAAUAAAAUAUGCUUUGGGAAUUUUUAAAAUGUAUAUUUUACAUUGAUUUCUAGCACAUUUGUUCUGAGAAUGUGUUUAUCUUAUUAAAGGGACAGCACUGUAUGUAAUUUUAGUCAAUUUCUAUAUAAUAUCUGUUAUUCAAAUGACAAACCCAAUAUCUUCCUCAGCAUUCUUUUACUUUGCGCUUCAUAGGCAAAUCCUUUCUCUAGGUCAAACAGUGGUAAAAUGUACAAAGAUAAUCAAACACAACUACAGAUAGUAUUUUCUAAGAAUAACACAGUGUUCUGAUAGUCUUCUAUCAGUCUGAUUUUGUGAUUAUCUUAACCUUGGAUAUCUUACAAUAUUAUGAAUAUCUACCUAUAUUAAUGCUCUUUCCACACACCUUAUGUUCAUUUUUUUUCUUUUUUUAAUUGAAAACUGAAAAAUUAGGAUACACUAAUUAUUCCGGGGGCUCACCACAGUGAUCACAAUUUGCAAAUGAAAAUACUUUAAAAAUUAAAAAAAAAAACCUCUUCAUAAAGAUAGAAACCCGUUAAAGAAACUGUCUAAAUGUUUGCACACAUUUCACUGUCUAAUGCUCCGAUGGAAAUGAUCAAUAAACAUUUGCAUAAAAAGAGCAGACUCAUUAUGCAUGUGAGUUUUAAUAGUCAUUGGGAAUUUUUGCCUAGUGCGAAAUUAUUUCUUGUCCUGCAUGCACAGGCUGACUUUGGCAGGCAUGUUAUGAAAGGCCAUGGACAACAUGUUGUAGUGACAUUUAAUACUACAUUUCCAAAAGAAGCUUCUUGAGACCCAGAGGUAGUCCUGAAAAUGCACAUACACCACAGCUAAACGCAGUUUCCACAAAUCAAACCUGGCAUCACUUCUAUCAGGGAAUGGCUUUUGUGUUUAUUUUUGUCUCCUCAUCACUGUCAUCUACCUACUCACCUUGAUCAUGUAUAUGAAUUAAUUUUAUUAGAAUGGAAUGGGAAAGACUCUAGAUCAGAGGAACCCAAAGCUUUUGAAAACAGCUUUUCUUUUAAGAAACUAAGACUUGCACGAACACUGACAACGCAGUGUACCUUGUUAUUCAACAUGGUUGAAUAUACUCAUUAAUACUUAUUAGAAUGUGAAAAUGAAAACAACUACUAUAUAUCCUAUUUUUCUCUUUCUAAGAACUCAUGUAAUUUAGCUUUACAUAAUAGCCUUGAGUGAAUAGGGCUGCCAAAGUUAAAAUAUUUUGUGAGCAGGUUAGUUUUUGUUAUUGUUCCUCAGUUUCUACCACUGAAUUAGGCUUUCUUUGAUAAGAAUAAAAACUUAGAGGGUUUCUGAUGCUUAUAACGAACUUGCUAAACUGUUGCCAUUUUGCAACAUCUGCUAUAAUUCCCCUAAAUCCAGAUUUGUCUGACACAGAGAGGCCUGUUCUUACAUCAUUGCCAUGUGACAGUAUAACACCAGUCACAUCAAGCUUGAGGAUUGCAGCUUCAGGCUAUGAUAAUAUGAAGAAAACCUUUUUGCCUAGGGCAAAACACUUGUAACAAAGUAUUAUUCAUCUGGCCAAUUUAAAUCUUCUCUCAAAAAGGUACCCAGAAACAUAUGCAGUAUGCCUUUGUAAAAGGCUUGAGCAGCUCAUAGGCAAAUGACCUGAACCAAGAGCACAAAACCUAAUGUCCUGAUUAAUUACUGCUAAGCGGCUCUGAUACACAGAAAAGAGAAUGCUGGUACUAAUCCUUAACCCUGUCCUACAUUCUCAAAAUAGCCAAAACAUUGCUGACAGUUGCAAACACAAACCUGUCCUUUUUUUUUUUUUUUUUAAGGUUAUACAUCAUCACUUGGUGCCUCCACCUAAGUCAAACCAGGAUGCAGACAGAUUAGAGAGUUACCAGUCCAGGGGGCUUCUUGGGGCAAGGCUCAUAGAAAGGAAAUCUGAAGGGGAAAAAACCAACAUCAAUAACACAGAAUGCCCCAACAGAAAUAUUCGGGGUGUUCUCGGGGUGUUCUUGCUUUCAGGGUUCAGCUUCCAAGAGACAGAGCUUCUCUGGAAAUUGCUCCUUAAGAGUUGAGAACCUCAAUACAGAAAUGCUUUACUGAUUCACUUGGAGCAGAGAAGUUUGCUAUGCUUAGAAUUUUAUUAGGGAAGGAUGUUUGAAUUUCUCUUGACUAUGAAAAUAAGAGCAUGCUUCUAUUUCAUGAUAAAUACCAGACAUUAGAAAUUCAAACUAUUUCAAUUGGAAGCCUAUCUUGGUUUUAUCAGUCACUCAAAUUAUAUCUACCUUUAUUAAGAAAGCAGGUAUCUGGAGUCCCUGUCACUCUUGCUGAGCAAGAAAUACAUGCUUAAACAAAGAAAGUCCUGUGUAAGAAAAGUUGCUUCUCUUAGCAGUUUUCUGGGUUUUGUUUUUUUAAUCUAAGGUCAUUAAAAUGCUCAUCUUGCUAUCAGCCAUAACACCAUUACUUUGCAGGUAAAUCAAAAUAGUUUUCUUGCACUUUAGGUAAAGCAUGGCAUGUUAAUAGCACUUCUUCAAAACAAAUAAUAAUCCUUCUCUAUUUUGAAGACUGCUCUUAAUUCGACAUUAUUCUUCAGGCACACCCCCUACUCCUGAGCUCUAGCAAAUAGAGGCUGAGGUUCUGAAGGGCCAGUCUAACUGGAGUGAGGGUCACUUUACCCACAGGCUGCCUCUAAUACAAAGGAGAAGAGACAUACUUUCACCUGCAGUGCACCCACUGUCAAAGUCUAACUCCAUUUUAGAUUGUCAAGAAUUUUUCUGUGUGUGUGCACAUUGUUGUAGAUACAAGCAUUUUCACAUGCCACAGCUUCCUACCUCGUGUUUAACAGACUGCACAGGAAAUGAGUUUUCCACCUGUCCAGAUCAAGUGAUGCCCAAGCAAAUGCAUACUGCUGGUUCAGCAUUGCAGCUUGAGCUUGAUGAUCUGUGUUUUCUUAAGGGCACCAAGCCCUGUUUCUCUUUGUACCUUUUUGCUUCAUUUCCUCACUCAUUUUCUCUGCCUCUGCCUUCAUCAGCUGGUCCCCAUGUGAUACACUUUGAUUUCUCAUCAUUACUCAAGCCCCUUCUUUCUGAAUUUAGGUAACUCACCUUCUCAUGAAUGAGGGUGUAACUUUGAAGUCAAUCCAGCUUGGUUCCUAACAUCCCUAUAAUUCUGAGCACCAUCUGCCCCUGGACAUGAUGACCAUUGAUGGAGAUUGUCCCUCCCUGAAGCCUGAAGCUCUGACUCUCUUCAGAGGCAGAGUAAAGAACCAAAUCUUGCUGCUUCUCAGGGCUGGGCAUCCAAUUUGAUAAUCCUUCAGAGGAGAAAAAUUUUUUAUUGUCUUCCAAGACUGAUACCAUGCAGGGGUGGGGUGGGCUGGAAGAUUUCUCCUCUCUUAGCUAGUUGCUGAUUUUUUUGCAGAUUAAAAAAUAUAAAUUAAGAAGUUUGAGGGAGUUCCCUUUGUGGCUCAGCAGUUAAUGAACCCA
rnacentral:lncRNA from 1 species